UCGCAUGUGCCUAUGAUGACGGAAGAAGAAGUCAACGGAGCUCUCAGCUCAGUCAAGCAGUCUUUCACGCGUGCAAUGUUCUGUCCAGAAGGACUAACGACUCCAUUUAGGGUUAAAACCAACUACUUUGUCCAUCUAAAGGUGACACUGAACCAGUUCAACAGAGGCCCACCACUUUGAUUCUAUUUUGAAGGUGCCCAUGAUGAAAAGGCCUUUUACACCGUAUGAAGUGGACCUGUAAACUUGGUACUUUUUUCUGUGGAAAUCUAUUUCAGAUCCAAACAAUCCUUGCAUGUCCAUCUGAGAGAUCAUGGACUCAAUGAAAACACUAACGGACUAAUAAGCUUUAAGCCUGGUAUUUGGAGCACCUUCAUUGUUACGAAUUCUGCAAGAAAGAUCCAGAUCAACUGAUGGCCACUGAACCCAGUGAACUGAACCACUACCUUCCACUGUCAUCCUACGCUGUCCAAGGCCGACUGGUGAUUUCUCCAAAGGUGUUUCUUGUACAUUGAGACAACCUUGUAAUGUAGCAAGUUGGUGAAAUGAUGGACAUCACAUUCCCCCUACGAAGAAAAGAAAUAGUUGAAAAUCAACCUCUUGCGGCUGAAGUCAAAGAAAGGUGGCCAGCCCUGUUCAAAGAACAGCAGAUUGAAGCAGAGUUUGCUCGGCUGACAUCUGUUGACCUCAAGAAGUCUUUCUUCAGUGGACUGGAUCAGCAUUUGCCAAGGUUCCUGGAGCUGUUCAAGGCCAAGAGUGGGAAAUCAGCUGGACUAAGCAGGCAGCUUAAAUGUCUUGAUGACUCCUCUAUGCUGAGGCAGAGGUCAGUUGUUCUUCCGGUGCCUUCUGUAUAUUCUCAAGGAUGAUCCUUCAAAUGCAUUCAAGACUGUUCAGGCCAUUGACGAGGAAGCCACAUUCACUCGGGGAAUGCAAGUUGGAGUUCUGCUGGUGAAAGAUGGAGAGGACAUCAUUGCCACAUCAGUCAUUCUUGAGGAACAAGUGGUCCUGCCUGAUGUGGAGGACAUUCCUCAUGCCAUUGCUCUACUGAUGGGUCUGCUUUUUGCCUUUAAUAUAGACUAUCCAAAGGAACUCAGGUACACAUUUGAAGUUUUUCAAAAGGUCCUGAUGAACAUCGGCGGAGGUCAGUGUUCCUCCCUUGUGCAUGGUUUGAGAAACAGACUGUUACAAAAAACCAUGUAGAUUCUCCUGAAAUGUCUCAUCUCAUGACUCAUGGAUGUCUGAGCUUUUUGAAAGCAUUCAACGUUUCCUGUUAAACAUUGUUCCAAAGGUCAUAUAGAAGUUUGGCACAUGGUUUGGAAUUCUUGUUUUGUUAUUUCAUCUGUUUAGGUUUAUUCCAUCAGAAAAUAUAGUCAUAUUGGUUCAAAGCCAAUCAAAUGCAUAGGUUGAUAAAAAGUAUUGCAAUAAAGAGGUCAACAUAAGACCAAACGAUAGAUGACAAGAUUAAAAUGUGCACUAUUUGUU